UACGUAGGGUGCGAGCGUUGUCCGGAAUUAUUGGGCGUAAAGAGCGCGCAGGCGGCUUGGCAAGUCGGGUGUGAAAUCCCGGGGCUCAACCCCGGACUUGCAGUGGGUACGGGCAGACUAGAGUGUGGUAGGGGAGACUGGAAUUCCUGGUGUAGCGGUGAAAUGCGCAGAUAUCAGGAGGAACACCGAUGGCGAAGGCAGGUCUCUGGGCCACUACUGACGCUGAGAAGCGAAAGCAUGGGGAGCGAACAGG
rnacentral:rRNA from 1 species